UACGUAGGGUGCGAGCGUUGUCCGGAAUUAUUGGGCGUAAAGAGCUCGUAGUCGGUCUGUCGCGUCGAUCGUGAAAACUUGGGGCUUAACCCUGAGCUUGCGGUCGAUACGGGCAUGACUGGAGUUCGGCAGGGGAGACUGGAAUUCCUGGUGUAGCGGUGAAAUGCGCAGAUAUCAGGAGGAACACCGGUGGCGAAGGCGGGUCUCUGGGCCGAGACUGACGCUGAGGAGCGAAAGCGUGGGGAGCGAACAGG
rnacentral:rRNA from 1 species